UUAAGUAGUUGUGCCGCAGGUAAUGAUGUUGGUGCUUACGUGCGUAUGACUACUUAACA
rnacentral:pre_miRNA from 1 species